UCGUUAGCUCAGUCGGUAGAGCAGUUGGCUUUUAACCAAUUGGUCGUAGGUUCGAAUCCUACACGACCCACCA
rnacentral:tRNA from 1 species